UACGUAGGGGCCGAGCGUUGUCCGGAGUUAUUGGGCGUAAAGCGCGCGCAGGCGGCCUCGCGCGCCCGACGUGAAAGCCCCCGGCUUAACCGGGGAGGGUCGUUGGGACGGCGGGGCUUGAGGGCGGGAGAGGUCGGUGGAAUUCCCGGUGUAGUGGUGAAAUGCGUAGAGAUCGGGAGGAACACCUGUGGCGAAGGCGGCCGACUGGGCCGACCCUGACGCUGAGGCGCGAAGGCGUGGGGAGCGAACGGGAUGAGAAC
rnacentral:rRNA from 1 species